GAUGAACGCUGGCGGCGUGCCUAAUACAUGCAAGUCGAGCGAACAGAUGAGGAGCUUGCUCCUCUGACGUUAGCGGCGGACGGGUGAGUAACACGUGGAUAACCUACCUAUAAUACUGGGAUCACUUCGGGAAACCGGAGCUAAUACCGGAUAAUAUAUUGAACCGCAUGGUUCAAUAGUGAAAGACGGUUUUGCUGUCACUUAUAGAUGGAUCCGCGCCGCAUUAGCUAGUUGGUAAGGUAACGGCUUACCAAGGCAACGAUGCGUAGCCGACCUGACAGGGUGAUCGGCCACACUGGAGCUGAGACACGGUCAAGACGCCUACGGUAGGCAGCAGUAGGGAAUCUUCCGCAAUGGGCGAAAGCCUGACGGAGCAACGCCGCGUGAGUGAUGAAGGUCUUCGGAUCGUAAAACUCUGUUAUUAGGGAAGAACAAAUGUGUAAGUAACUAUGCACGUCUUGACGGUACUUAAUCAGAAAGCCACGGCUAACUACGUG
rnacentral:rRNA from 1 species